GGGCCAGACUCCUACGGGAGGCAGCAGUGGGGAAUAUUGCACGAUGGGGGGAACCCUGAUGCAGCGACGCCGCGUGGGUGAAGGAGCACCUCGGUGCGUAAAGCCCUAUCGGCAGGGAAGAAACAGACGGUACCUGACUAAGAAGCCCCGGCUAACUACGUGCCAGCAGCCGCGGUAAUACGGAGGAUGCGAGCGUUAUCCGGAUUUAUUGGGUUUAAAGGGUGCGCAGGCGGAUUUUUAAGUCAGCGGUCAAAUCGUGGGGCUCAACCCCAUCCAGCCGUUGAAACUGGGGAUCUAGGGUGUGCGAGAGGUAUGCGGAAUGCGUGGUGUAGCGGUGAAAUGCAUAGAUAUCACGCAGAACCCCGAUUGCGAAGGCAGCAUACCGGUGCACAACUGACGCUCAGGCACGAAAGCGUGGGUAGCAAACAGGAUUAGAUACCCUCGUAAUG
rnacentral:rRNA from 1 species